rnacentral:rRNA from 1 species
UACGAAGGGGGCUAGCGUUGUUCGGAAUUACUGGGCGUAAAGCGCGCGCAGGCGGUCUUCCAAGUCAGUGGUGAAAGCCCGGAGCUCAACUCCGGAACUGCCAUUGAAACUGUUAGACUUGAGGAUGAGAGAGGUGAGUGGAAUUCCCAGUGUAGAGGUGAAAUUCGUAGAUAUUGGGAGGAACACCAGUGGCGAAGGCGGCUCACUGGACCGGUUCUGGCGCUGAAGCGCGAAAGCGUGGGGAGCAAACAGG